AACGAACGCUGGCGGCGUGCCUAAUACAUGCAAGUCGAGCGAGAAAGUCUCUUCGGAGAUGAGUAGAGCGGCGCACGGGUGAGUAACACGUGGGCAAUCUGCCCUCGAGUCUGGGAUAACCCGGGGAAACUCGGGCUAAUACCGGAUACGGCUGCGGGGUCUUCGGAUCCUGUGGAGAAAGAUGGCCUCUUCUUGAAAGCUAUCUCUCGAGGAUGAGCCCGCGUCCUAUUAGCUAGUUGGUGGGGUAACGGCUCACCAAGGCAAAGAUGGGUAGCUGGUCUGAGGGGAUGACCAGCCACACUGGAACUGAGACACGGUCCAGACUCCUACGGGAGGCAGCAGUAGGGAAUUUUGGGCAAUGGGCGAAAGCCUGACCCAGCAACGCCGCGUGUGGGAUGAAGGCCCUCGGGUCGUAAACCACUGUCAGGA
rnacentral:rRNA from 1 species